GACAUCCAUCUCGCCUUAACAAAUACAAUCGAAAACUAACAAAUCAAACUGUUAAAAGUUUCCCAAUAUGUGGACAGAUUACUUGCUACAUGUUGUGUUGUGAUUGCUUCCCUUUACAUUUUUCUGCCUAUCUUUGUGCACCAUUGAUAGUGAUGCCAGUUUUAGUUGCAUGCUCACAUAAAAUCUGCGAGAAAUACACAGAUGUCAAGAUUUUAAAUUCCUUCGCGCACCAUUUAUUCUGCUAACGAGUUUGAUCUUUAUGUUUCUUUUGUUGGAAAAAUUUGAUCUUGAAGUUUGGCACACAUGCUUUUGCAGGGAAGAUGUAUGAGAUUGGACCAUCUGGAAUUAGCAGUCUAAAGGGCCACAACAAGAGGAGGAAUAAAUAGGAGCCUCAAAGAUUUCAUCUCCCUCUUCGGAAGAAUGUCCCUUGUACCAACUAAUGCUAAAGCUGUAGACGCUGGAUUUGAAUGCUUCUGGUAGUUUCAGAGUUGGUCCAUGUGCCGUUGGAUUAUGUGAUAUGUGAUACAUCUCUACCAUAUAAAGGAAGUAUGAGACUUUGUGGAGUCAUCUGGGUUGUUUGUUUUUGUUGUGGCUUGAUCGAGCACGUGGUGGCGGUGAGUGGUUCUGCAUAUUAGACAGCUCAGGACGGAACGUGUUUAAGUACAUGUAACUGAGAAGCCAGGAAUUGGAAUUUGGUUGGUGGAUGCGGGGAUGCUCAUCCCUCAUGCGAAUAGCGACAUGCAUACUUUUUAUAUAAAGUUGAGACAAAAAGCCGAGAGGCGCUCUGCAGAAAUGGUGGUGAAUGUUCCUUCAGCUGCAAACAAACACAAAGCCUCGUGCCGAAAACUAAUUUGUUGUGCCCUGAAAGCGGAAGGAUUCUUCAUGCACGAAAACUAAAUCCAAACGAUACACAGCUCCGAGAAACACUACUUAAGUAUCUUGAUGGAUUCUGGAAUGGCGCUCGGCUUUUCGUUCUUAAUAGCUAUGUCCUAACCAGAAGCAAACAGCAUCAACUAUUAUGCAGCCACCAUUCCUCAGAGAUGCAUCACCUUCACAGUGCUGUGGAAACAAAACCCGAAAACAAAGUUCGAAUGCGAAGAACUUAACUCAGUUGCUGGAUUUGCUGAAGCUUAAGAGCAUCAACAUCUAUUCUGACCAAGGAAGAAAAUAUCGGUGAUAUCGGAAAUAUCGGUAGUCCGAAAAUACGGAAAUAUCGAUGGAAAUAUCGGUAAAAUAUCGAUAUCGAUAAAAAUUACAUGGAAACCACGGAAAUUGUAAGAAAAACUUGGAAAUUUUUAUUGAAACUUUGUAGGAUGUUUAUUUAGUCAAUUAUCUAUUAGUUUAUCACAAAAAA